rnacentral:rRNA from 1 species
GACGAACGCUGGCGGCGUGCUUAACACAUGCAAGUCGAGCGGUAAGGCCCUUUCGGGGGUACACGAGCGGCGAACGGGUGAGUAACACGUGGGUGACCUGCCCUCAGCUCUGGGAUAAGCCUGGGAAACCGGGUCUAAUACCGGAUAUGACUCCAUGACGCAUGUUGUGGGGUGGGAAGCCUUGUGCGGCUGAGGAUGGGCCCGCGGCCUAUCAGCUUGUUGGUGGGGUGAUGGCCUACCAAGGCGACGACGGGUAGCCGGCCUGAGAGGGCGACCGGCCACACUGGGACUGAGACACGGCCCAGACUCCUACGGGAGGCAGCAGUGGGGAAUCUUGCGCAAUGGGCGAAAGCCUGACGCAGCGACGCCGCGUGAGGGAUGACGGCCUGUGU